UAUGUGCUACAGGUUUAGUAUAUAUGCACUGUAAUUAUUUACAUGUGUGUAAGUUAUCUACGUGCGUCUCUGAGCGGCACGGUUCACAGUAAACGCUGCUCCAUGCAUGUGAACUGUUAUCAUUUACAUGAGUGGCGCAUCUCAAAUUCCAUCUCUGCAUAUGCUGUGAGUCUAGAUUGCUUUUAACAUUCAUAGGGCUGCAAUAACUAUUCAAUAAAAUCGAUAAUAAUCGAUAAUGAAAAUCAUCGUCAACGAUUCUCAUUAUCGAUUAGUCGGGUCUGCCCACCGUGCGCAGAAAACUUCUGCCAGUCCCAUCAAGUUACAGCACUGAAUAACGCAUUUCUAUGGAUAAAAAGCAUCUAAAAAUUGUAGAGGAAGCAGAGUGAGCUGCUGCCGGAAAGAUAGAUCUUCUUCUUCAAGUUCAGACCUCCUCUCCUCUGACCCCAGACCCAUAGACAAGAGACACCAUUGUCCUGAUGCUAUUCAGAGCACACAUUGAAAAUCACUCGAUUCGAUUACAGCUAUCUGCAUAUUGAGCAUCUGCCCCUCAAAUGUGGCCAGCCAUCCUUUACUCCAUACCACCCCCCCCCCUUUUUGCACAGACCUAAAUGACCCUGCAGUCACUCUCGACCUGUUUACCCUUUUCCCCCUCCUUCCCCCAGAGUUCAAGAGUUUAAAGAGCUGGCUGGAUUCUGGGCUUGGUGACGUGAAGGAUGGUGUUGACUGGGGGAAGAUGGUCUCCAGACAUCUGAGGAGGACCUCCCUCCAUUUACCCACUUUCAUGUCUGGAAUCUCAGAAUUCAGUUUUGGAUGACUGCCCAUAAAUCAGAGGGGAGAAGAUUGAGACAUCACAGUUCAGGCCAGAUCAGCAGUUUUUGCAUAUCUGCCUUUAGUGUUAAGUAUAUUUGUAGAUUAUCCAUGAUACUCUGAGGUCUUUUGUCCAUGAGGUUCAGCUUUGAAUUGUAUUGCUGAAGAUGCACAAAAGGUAUCACAUGGAGCCCAUGGAAUAAGACGACCACGGCAGCCUUUAAUCCUAUUACUGCCACCCAUAUCGCAGCAGCUCUCUGUAGGUCUUUACCUACUAGAAUAUCUAGAAUAUUUGUAUAAAGACUACAAAUACCGGGUGACUUUAUAUUAAUCUGAAUCUACACAGAGCAUUUGCAUUAUAUUCGCAUAAUAAAAAUGCCCAGGUUACAUACAAAAUCUCAUUAUGUAUGUUCACUCAUUUUAUUUAGUUAUUUAUUUACUAUCAUAUUUUAUAUAUCAUUCUAAGCUCAAAGUGAUAAAAACACAACCUACAUAUAACCAAGCUGCCUCUGAGUUUGAAGAUUAUGAAAGAGCAUGCUCAAUGCUCAUACUCAAGAUAUUUAUGAAACAUAGAUACCAUUACAAUGUGUUAUUUAUCGACUUUUAGCAGUGCUGCAGUUCUAAUGAUGUGUUAAUUGUUAUAAUGUAAAAAUAAAUGUUUAAGUUAUUGUAGCCUGGUUGUAUCACUUGGUUGUAUACGGUGAUACCUUGAUAUGAUUUAUAGUGGAGAAAUAUACAUAGUGUCAUGUCUAGUUUUGGUUUUGUUUCAUGUUCAUGUUUCAUGUCUUAUUUUGUGGUUUUCACAUUUUUGUUAUCUUGCCAUGUGCUCCCCUUUUCAUGUGAUUUCCCUCAUGUUUCAUGCCAUGUGGUCCCUUAGUCAUUGUGUCAUGUGUUACACGUGUUGUUUAAAUUUAAACACAAGUAAAUAUAUAGGGAUUUUAAACAUCUUUGGAAAAUUGAUUUAUGAUGCAUUUCAAAUAAUAUGAUGUUGAAAUCCUUGUGGGAAUUUCAGUAGUAGCCUAUUACAAUUAAUGUAUCAUGUAAUGGACAACAGCCUUUUAAGUGCGUAAACUUUUACAAGUACAAACAAGUAAAACUGAACAACAUAUUAAUUUUAAGUAUGCUUAUGGCAAUGCUUAAUAGUUGAGAAAUGUUUAUAAUACAUUAUAAGUUGGUACAUUGUAAAUGCUGAAAAAAAAAUUCAAAAUCUCUUCUUUUGAAAAUAUUAAAAUUCUAAAU